AUCCGAGGCAAGCUUUCCAAUGCGUUUGCUGGAUUCAUAGGAGGCCAACAUGGAUGAUGAAAGUUCCACUGACAGCACCUUUUUUGUUUUUAGUAAGGUUUUUUUUGGUACUACUAGCUUUAAAUGC
rfam:Jatropha curcas cultivar GZQX0401 scaffold542_17, whole genome shotgun sequence.